UUUCUUUCCUCCGAGGCGGGAGAACACUUUUGGAAACACUGAAGCGAUUGAAUAUGGAGGACUUUGUUAAACUAAAGUUAACAGAACGGCAACUUCUUGAGCUGAUUGACACUUUUGCAGAUUGUGCAGGACUUCGAGGUUCUUCAUAAAGAGGCAUCAGACUAAAUCUUUGACCUGGAGGAGGUUCAGCGAGAAGCUUGUUCAUGCGGCCCAGUGGGAGGGGUAGAAGCUCCACGUGCAGACAGAGACAGAGUCUUUGUCUCAAGGCUCCAAAGACUACAUUGCCCUGAUGGUUCUGCCAAGCCUGAUUCCACCUGCAGUCUUCAGGAUGGGCCGAAAGACCGUGAGGACUACAGUGUCUGACGCCAUGAAGGCCUUCAUCGAUCUUAAGCCUGUCGGAGCCAACAUGGUGGAGUACCUUCAGGCAGCAGAGCAGACCAUACCCCUGCACCCUGGUGUUGGGAGGCGAGGACUGCUGCUCUCAGGCAUUCACCGUUCCCAGUGGGCUGGCCCUGGAGCACGACAGCGUUGUCCAAGCUGUACAUGUUUGUGUCAAAUGUUUUUAUGUGUUUGAUAUCAAUUUCCCAAAGCAGUGUUUCUCUGCUUAGCAGUUCCUCCAGAAAGAAUGGGGGGGUGGUAGUAAUGUGGCCCCAUGCGUUUGUUUUUUGGAAAUGCU